ACGACCGUAGCUCAACUGGCGAGAAUGUCUCAGUACCAAUUUUAGAGGUCGCAGGUUCGAAUCCCGCCGGUUGUC
rnacentral:tRNA from 1 species